UCUAAUACCGGAUAUGACCAACUGUCGCAUGGUGGUUGGUGGAAAGCUUUUGCGGUGUGGGAUGGGCCCGCGGCCUAUCAGCUUGUUGGUGGGGUAAUGGCCUACCAAGGCGACGACGGGUAGCCGACCUGAGAGGGUGAUCGGCCACACUGGGACUGAGACACGGCCCAGACUCCUACGGGAGGCAGCAGUGGGGAAUAUUGCACAAUGGGCGCAAGCCUGAUGCAGCGACGCCGCGUGAGGGAUGACGGCCUUCGGGUUGUAAACCUCUUUCACCAGGGACGAAGCGUGAGUGACGGUACCUGGAGAAGAAGCACCGGCCAACUACGUGCCAGCAGCCGCGGUAAUACGUAGGGUGCGAGCGUUGUCCGGAAUUACUGGGCGUAAAGAGCUCGUAGGCGGUUUGUCGCGUCGUCUGUGAAAUUCUGCAACUCAAUUGCAGGCGUGCAGGCGAUACGGGCAGACUUGAGUACUACAGGGGAGACUGGAAUUCCUGGUGUAGCGGUGAAAUGCGCAGAUAUCAGGAGGAACACCGGUGGCGAAGGCGGGUCUCUGGGUAGUAACUGACGCUG
rnacentral:rRNA from 1 species